AAAAUAUCAAAUGGCAAAAUAAAAAAUAUUAAAAAUCAGAAAUAGAAACUAGAAUUUAUUUGGGAAAUAAUGCGAUUGGUCCCAUAAUUUUUGGAUAAAAAAUGAAAGAGAUAUUGAUUUUUGAAAUAAAAUGGAAUUAAUGAAAAUAAAAGGAAAAUAAAAACAGAAAAUAGAAAUUGGAAAAAGCGUGGACCGUCUGAUCUAAGCUCAUUAGUUGAGCUGGCAAAUCAUGAGGCCAUGAAGCACGCGCCUACCACGGAUCCAAGUCAAUGCGUGCACAUGUAAAAGAAAUAAAAGUCAUAACAAUGGACGCCUGGGAUCGAAUCUG
rnacentral:lncRNA from 1 species